AGAGUUUGAUCCUGGCUCAGGAUGAACGCUGGCGGCGUGCCUAAUACAUGCAAGUCGAGCGAACGGACGAGAAGCUUGCUUCUCUGAUGUUAGCGGCGGACGGGUGAGUAACACGUGGAUAACCUACCUAUAAGACUGGGAUAACUUCGGGAAACCGGAGCUAAUACCGGAUAAUAUUUUGAACCGCAUGGUUCAAAAGUGAAAGACGGUCUUGCUGUCACUUAUAGAUGGAUCCGCGCUGCAUUAGCUAGUUGGUAAGGUAACGGCUUACCAAGGCAACGAUGCAUAGCCGACCUGAGAGGGUGAUCGGCCACACUGGAACUGAGACACGGUCCAGACUCCUACGGGAGGCAGCAGUAGGGAAUCUUCCGCAAUGGGCGAAAGCCUGACGGAGCAACGCCGCGUGAGUGAUGAAGGUCUUCGGAUCGUAAAACUCUGUUAUUAGGGAAGAACAUAUGUGUAAGUAACUGUGCACAUCUUGACGGUACCUAAUCAGAAAGCCACGGCUAACUACGUGCCAGCAGCCGCGGUAAUACGUAGGUGGCAAGCGUUAUCCGGAAUUAUUGGGCGUAAAGCGCGCGUAGGCGGUUUUUUAAGUCUGAUGUGAAAGCCCACGGCUCAACCGUGGAGGGUCAUUGGAAACUGGAAAACUUGAGUGCAGAAGAGGAAAGUGGAAUUCCAUGUGUAGCGGUGAAAUGCGCAGAGAUAUGGAGGAACACCAGUGGCGAAGGCGACUUUCUGGUCUGUAACUGACGCUGAUGUGCGAAAGCGUGGGGAUCAAACAGGAUUAGAUACCCUGGUAGUCCACGCCGUAAACGAUGAGUGCUAAGUGUUAGGGGGUUUCCGCCCCUUAGUG
rnacentral:rRNA from 1 species